CCUACGGGCGGCAGCAGUGGGGAAUAUUGCACAAUGGGGGAAACCCUGAUGCAGCGACGCCGCGUGAGCGAAGAAGUAUUUCGGUAUGUAAAGCUCUAUCAGCAGGGAAGAAAAUGACGGUACCUGACUAAGAAUCCCCGGCUAACUACGUGCCAGCAGCCGCGGGAAUACGUAGGGGGCAAGCGUUAUCCGGAUUUACUGGGUGGAAAGGGAGCGUAGACGGCUUUGCAAGUCUGAAGUGAAAGCCCAGGGCUCAACCUUGGGACUGCUUUGGAAACUGUAGAGCUUGAGUACCGGAGGGGUAAGCGGAAUUCCUGGUGUAGCGGUGAAAUGCGUAGAUAUUAGGAGGAACACCAGUGGCGAAGGCGGCUUACUGGACGGUAACUGACGUUGAGGCUCGAAAGCGUGGGGAGCAAACAGGAUUAGAUACCCGAGUAGUC
rnacentral:rRNA from 1 species